GUUGAAAGGACACUGCUUAGAGUUAUGGUGAUAUCUUCAGAUUAAGAGAAGGGGGUAACAGUUUUGCUGGUGGGUUCAGUUAAAAUGGUGGCUGCUGUGGCAGUUUCAGGUUCCACAGAACUGGUAGCGCUGGCUGUUGUGGUGGUAGUCUCACUGGUAGUGCUAGCAGUCAUCGUAGUAGGUGGUUCAGUUGAAGUGCUGGCUACUGUGAUGGUUGUAGAUUCAUAAGAAGCUGUUGUAAUGGCUGUUGUGGUGGUAGCCUCAGUGGUAGUCCUGAAGGUUGGUGUGGUAGUCUGUUCAGUUGAUGUGGUGGGUAUAGUGGUUGUAGCCUCAGUGGGAAUACUGGUAGUCAUUGGGGUAGUCAGUUCAGUGAAGUGGUAGAUGCUGUGGUGUCUGUAGGUUCAGUGGAAGCUGCAGUAGUGGAAGCAGUGGAGGCAGCCCCAGUGGUACUGCUGGUACUUAGUGUGGUAGGCAGUUCUGUUGUAGUGGUGGCUGCUGUGGUGGUAUCCUCAGUGGUAGUACUGGUAGUUUGUGUGGUAGUCUGUUCAGUUGAAGUACUGGCUAUUGUUGUGGUAGCCUCAGUGGUAGUGCCAGAAGUUGGUGUGGUAGUCUGUUCCGUGGAAGUGGUGGCUGUUGUGGUUGUAGCCUCAGUGGUACUGCUGACAGUUGGUAUGGUAGUCUGCUCAGUAGAAGUGGUGGCUGCUGUGGUAGUUGUAGUUUCAGUGGAAAUGGUAGUGGUGGCUGUUGCAGUAGUAGCCUCAGUGGUAGUGCUGGUAGUUGGUGUGGUAGUCAGUUCUGUUGAAGUGGUGGCUGUUGCAGUGGUAGUCUCAGUGGUAGUGCUGGUAGUUGGUGUGGUAGUCUGUUCAGUUGAUGUAGUGGCUAUUGUGGUUGUAGAUUCUGUGGGAGCAGUAGUGGUGGCUGUUGUGGUUGUAACCUCCAUGGUAGGGCUGGAAGUUGGUGUGGUACUUGGUUCCAUUAAAGUCGUGGUUGUUGUGGCAGCCUCAGUAGUACUGCUGGUAGUCAUUGUGGUAGUUGGUUCAGUUGAAGUGAUAGCUGCUGUGGUGGUUGUAGUUUCGGUUGAAAUGGUAGUGGUGGCUGUUGCAGUAGUAGCCUCAGUGGGGGUGCUGGCAGUUGGUGUAGUAGUCAGUUCUGUUGAAGCGGUGGCUGCUGUGGAAGUAGCCUCAGUGGUAGGGCUGGCAGUUGGUGUGGUAGUCUGCUCCGUAGAAGUGGUGGCUGUUGUGGUUGUAGCCUCAGUGGUAGUGCUGGCAGUUGGUGUGGUAGUCUGUUCCAUUGAAGUGGUGGCUGUUGUGGUUGUAGCCUCAGUGGUAGUGCUGGCAGUUGGUGUAGUAGUUUGUUCAGUUGAAGUGGUGACUGUUGUGGUUGUAGCCUCAGUGGUAGUGCUGGCAGUAGGUGUGGUACUCUGUUCCAUGGAAGUGGUGGCUGUUGUGGUUGUAGCCUCAGUGGUAGUGCUGGAAGUUGGUGUAGUAGUCUGUUCAGUUGAAGUGGUGACUGUUGUGGUUGUAGCCUCAGUAGUAGUGCUGGCAGUUGGUGUAGUAGUCUGUUCAGCUGAAGUGGUGACUGUUGUGGUUGUAGCCUCAGUAGCAGUGCUGGCAGUUGGUGUGGUAGUCUGUUCAGUUGAAGUGGUAGCUGUUGUGGUGGUAGCCUCAGUGGUAGUGCUGGAGGCUGGCGUGGUAGUCUGUUCAGUUGAUGUAGUGGCUAUUGUGGUUGUAGACUCUGUGGGAGCAGUAGUGGUGGCUGGUGUGGUUGUAACCUCCGUGGUAGGGCUGGAAGUUGGUGUGGUACUUGGUUCCAUUAAAGUUGUGGCUGUUGUGGCAGCCUCAGUAGUACUUCUGGUAGUCAUUGUGGUAGUUGGUUCAGUUGAAGUGAUAGCUGCUGUGGUGAUUGUAGUGUCAGUGGAAAUGGUAGUGGUGGCUGUUGCAGUAGCAG
rnacentral:lncRNA from 1 species